rnacentral:lncRNA from 1 species
AAACAAGUAUUUUAAUUAAGAUAUACCCAUAUCUUAAAUUUGAGAAACGCAAACCCCAAUAUAAAUCCAAAAUUCCGAAUUACCAAAAUAUUGGCCACACCAAAGAAUCAGAAAUCCACUACGUUCUAUACGCAUAUCCGCGUCAAAAAGAUUGAUUCUUACCUUGUAGAUAGAGGGGGGAUUCUAAUGAAUAGCAGAAGUAGAAGAAUCAGAAGAAGCAGAAGCAGAAUUGGAGUGAGAGUGAGUGUGUGAGUGCGAUUUGGGUGCGUAGAUCUUGUUGUAGGCAGCUUCACCGACAACGUAAAUACCAAAAGCCACGAGGGCGAUGCCGAGACCGGGGGUGGCGUGGCGCCACUGGUUCAUCAUCAUCGGGUGCUUCCGCCACUCGUCCCGUCUCCUAAAGAACUCGCCUGUGUGUCCCAGCGGUUUCGCCAUUGAUGAUGCUCUCCUGAUUAGCUUGAUGAAAUGCUGUGGAUUUGGAAUGGAAGCUCAAAAUGGUAAUGGUAGAGAUGGGCCCAU